AUUGAACGCUGGCGGUAGGCUUAACACAUGCAAGUCGUGCGAGAAAGUAUCUUCGGAUAUGAGUAGAGCGGCGGACGGGUGAGUAACGCGUAGGAAUCUACCUAGUAGAAGGGGAUAGCCCGGGGAAACUCGGAUUAAUACCGUAUACCUCCUUCGGGAGAAAGAAGGCCUCUCUUUGAAGCUUUCGCUAUUAGAUGAGCCUGCGUAAGAUUAGCUUGUUGGUGAGGUAAAGGCUCACCAAGGCGACGAUCUUUAGCGGGUCUGAGAGGACGAUCCGCCACAUUGGGACUGAGACACGGCCCAGACUCCUACGGGAGGCAGCAGUGGGGAAUAUUGGACAAUGGGCGCAAGCCUGAUCCAGCCAUACCGCGUGUGUGAAGAAGGCCCUAGGGUUGUAAAGCACUUUAAGUUGGGAAGAAAAGUUAUUGGUUAAUACCCAAUAACCGUGACAUUACCAUCAGAAUAAGGACCGGCUAAUUCCAUG
rnacentral:rRNA from 1 species